UCGAAUUUUGAGUCCGUUCUUCUCUUCUCUCCCCAUUUACAAUUUUUAGGGGAGAAGAUAGAGGAAGCAUUGCAGAAAUGCAACACUGAUUGCGUCUACUUCUUGGCAUCUCCUCUCACGUGUAAGAAGCCAUUAGAGAGUUGUAAUGAGAAAUGAGUUGAAUCUGCUCCUACUUGCCUGUGAACAAGACAGGUGUUCCCUGUUUCUUCUAUUACAAUGGAUUUUGCAAUAGAGCUGAAAAAUGUGUGUUUCUGCAUGGACCUGAUGAUGGGGCUCCCACACGGAAACCAUCAAAGACACUGUCCCCAGUCAAUGAUGGGGGGAAACAGGCUCAGCCCCAGUUGAAACACAUCUUAAUUCAUUUAAAACUAAUCCAAAAAGAGCAGCAAAUGAAAAUACCCGGAGAUGAUGAAGUUGGAUGCUGAUGUGGAGAGAGAAGAGUUGUUAGAGUCCUUGCCCAGUUUUGAUGUUCUUGUUGGUGGUAGAUCAGACUUGGGGUAUGAAAAUCUUGAUUACUUGAUGCAACAUGAUGUGGCUGGUGGAGAGCUUGAUGGUCAGUACUUAGGAUAUGAUUUUGAGGAAAAUAUAGAGGUAUGACCUUGAAUAUCCAGAUAUGACAAUCCUUUUUGAAGAAGAUUUUUAAGGGGAGUAGACAGGGAAUUCUAGCCUAACUGUAAAACAAGACUUUGAGGUCCAAAAUCUUUGCAUGAAAUUCUGAAGGACAAUAUACCAGAUCAACAUUGAAUGUUUGAAUUGUACUCCCUGAUGGCUUGCUGAAUCAAGUGGAAAAUGAGAACGAUUUAGUACAGGACAGAGCCCUUUGUUAUACCUGAUGUGGAGCUAGAAAUUACUUAGGUUGUGACAUCAUGUAGAUUACAAAGGUACUGUUGAUACCUUUGUGGCUCUCUCUCUCUCUGCCUGCUGUUGAUUAGGAUUAAUAUUCAAAUGUUGUGUAUACAUUUUUAUAUUAGACAAAACAGGAUAGGAAGUAAAUUCGUUUU